GGGGCAGUAGCUCAGUUGGUUAGAGCAGCGGACUCAUAAUCCGUCGGUCGCUGGUUCGAGUCCAGCCUGCCCCA
rnacentral:tRNA from 1 species